UUUAAAAUGUACCACCUUAGUAACAAUAUCAACAGAUUUGGCUUUUAAAAAACCAGUCAAAUAGUGCUAUCACCAGUUAUUGUACAACUACGGAAGCAUUGAAAUUGUCAUUAUUCGCACGCACUGCCUUAUUUUCAUUUAAUUGAGUGUGUCACGUUCUACUCAAGAUAAUUCAGAUAAGAUCAAAUUUGAUAGUGUUUUUGACAAAUUGUUGGUAUAUUCACAAUACAUACAUGAAAAUGUAUAUUCUGGUCUUCUCCUUUUGUUUUAUAAUUUUCAUUUGCGAGUAAUUAUUUCAAAAAUUUCACUUAACACGUGCAGUGCGGCUUCUGAAUGGGAAAGCGGUUGCUACGAGAAACACCUAUAAUUUCUCCUUCCGAAAAUGUGUCUAUAAGAAUUCAUCGCACAUCUAGGGAAAGCAAAUGACGCGGACGACCAACAGGGUUCUUUUUUUAUUCGAUUUAAAAAAAUAAUAUUUUUCUUUCGUUGUGCUAAUGUGACGCAAUACAAUCAUCUAGAUUUAAUGCGUUCGUCGUUCAGAAAAGUUAGAUGAAAAAAGAUAUAAUGAAAAUUGAAAAUCAAAUGGAUUUUUUUACGAAAUUUUAUAGGAAUUUUUAGAGUAGAUUAAAAGGUUCUUAAUUGAAAUGUAUUUAUUAA